GUUCAUCAAUCCUAUCCUUUAACAUGGUUUCCAUCACUUUCCCCACUACUGAAGUAAGGCUUACUGGCCUAUAGUUGCCAUAGGAAAAGCAUUGAGGAAAUGAUCUACUAUAGGGAAAAGCAUUGAGGAAAUGAUCUACUAUAGGGAGGGUCUAAUGCACUCAAAGCGCAUGCAUAUUAGGUCCCCCUGUCAGAUGAUGUUGGAGGAGGCAGAGUGCCGACCCAGUGCCGAGGUACAUCAGUGCUGGAAAGAAAGUAAAUAAAGGAUUUUUUUUAUGCACCAGAGGCAGACCAAAGGGCACUAUAGUGUUAGGACUACGACUGAUCUCUUUCAAGAGUUACUCCAACCGAAAAAAAACAUUGUUUUACGAAAUCCCUGGUUUUGGUUACAGUAAUCCUUUCUAAGCCCUCCCACUAACUUGAAAAAACAAACAAAUCCUUAGCAUCUGUUCCAGCACAGAGGCCAGUUUUUUUUUCCUGCAGACCAGUCAACCACGUCUGACAUCACUCCCCCUAGCUAGGAAUUUGGCCAGGCUGAGCAGAGGACAUGGAUGACUCAGAAUGGGGGGACCAUACCACUAUUGUCUGUCUGGUGCCGGUGUUCUAUCAGUCUGGUAUACUC